rnacentral:rRNA from 1 species
UACGGGGGGGGCAAGCGUUGUUCGGAAUUACUGGGCGUAAAGGCUCGUAGGCGGCCAACUAAGUCAGACGUGAAAUCCCCUCGGCUUAACCGGGGAACUGCAUCUGAUACUGGAUGGCUUGAGAUUGGGAGAGGGAUGCGGAAUUCCAGGUGUAGCGGUGAAAUGCGUAGAUAUCUGGAGGAACACCGGUGGCGAAGGCGGCAUCCUGGACCAACACUGACGCUGAGGAGCGAAAGCCAGGGGAGCAAACGGG